rnacentral:ncRNA from 1 species
AUAGAAGGGUUAAAGAACCUAACUAUAUGCCUGUUGAAGAAGGAGCUGACGAGUCUUAAUUAUUGCCAGCACUUGAUUAAAUUUAAUUAACUGAAGCCACAGUUAAUGCGAGUUAUUAUAUAAUAAUAACAAUUGCUUGUAAUUAAGAGCCCGAACCCGAAUAAAUUAAUCUUGUCCAGAAUGAAAUAUAGAUGAGUCUAUAUAGAGGUUCGAACUGGUUGAUAUUGAACAAUCACCAGAAGAGAUGAGAUUAGUGGUGAAAUGCUUACCGAAUUCGGAGCUAGCUAGUUCUCCUCGAAAUGCGUUGAGGUGUAGCUAUUAUUAAUAUAUAUUUAAGGUGGUAAAGCACUAUAUAUAAUAUUUAUAUAUUUAUAUUUAUAAACCUAUUAUAUUAAUUAUUUAUAAACUAAUAAUACCUAAUUAUAUUAUAAAAUAAUAAGUGAGACUAUUGGGGAAAAUCUCAAAAGUCUAAAGGGAAACAACUCAUAUCAUAAAUUAAAGUUUUUAAAAAUUCGCUGGCGCACUCUGCUGAAGCUCUACCUGCAAGGCAGUUGUUUUUUUACAACUGCGCUUGUUUGCAAUAAUACCCGUUCCCUUUCCGAAUUGAGUUCUUAUUUUUCCUCAAAAAAGCACAUGGCUGUUGUUCUUGCCUAACUCAACGUUGGACAACGGGUUAAGCACUACAGGAUAGACGAUGAUCUCUUGUGGUUAAACAUAAAUCGUGGACUCUGCCGCCUUUGGGGUCCAGCUUCUCACCAUAGAGAUGCUUCGCGCAAAAUGCACAGUCACAGUUUAGCUGGCCAAAAUGGGGUCAGC